AUUAGAUAAAUAAUUUGACUUCGUAUAACUCUAACGAUAUGGGUUAGGGGUAUCUACCAGGGACCAAUAAUUCCUGAUUACGAAGAGAAUGCACCUAGGU
rnacentral:ncRNA from 2 species